rnacentral:rRNA from 1 species
AUAUAGAUUAAGUUAUUAAGGGCGCACGGUGGAUGCCUUGGCACUAGAAGCCGAUGAAGGACGUUACUAACGACGAUAUGCUUUGGGGAGCUGUAAGUAAGCUUUGAUCCAGAGAUUUCCGAAUGGGGAAACCCAGCACGAGUUAUGUCGUGUUAUCUGCAUGUGAAUACAUAGCAUGCAAGAAGGCAGACCCGGAGAACUGAAACAUCUUAGUACCCGGAGGAAGAGAAAGAAAAAUCGAUUCCCUGAGUAGCGGCGAGCGAAACGGGAAGAGCCCAAACCAAUAAGCUUGCUUAUUGGGGUUGUAGGACACUCUGUACGGAGUUACAAAAGAAUUUGUUAGACGAAUAACCUGGAAAGGUUAAUCAUAGAAGGUAAUAAUCCUGUAGUCGAAAACGAAUUCUCUCUUGAGUGGAUCCUGAGUACGACGGAGCACGUGAAAUUCCGUCGGAAUCUGGGAGGACCAUCUCCUAAGGCUAAAUACUCUCUAGUGACCGAUAGUGAACCAGUACCGUGAGGGAAAGGUGAAAAGUACCCCGGAAGGGGAGUGAAAGAGAACUUGAAACCGUGUGCUUACAAGUAGUCAGAGCCCGUUAAUGGGUGAUGGCGUGCCUUUUGUAGAAUGAACCGGCGAGUUACGAUCUGAUGCAAGGUUAAGCAGAAAAUGUGGAGCCGUAGCGAAAGCGAGUCUGAAUAGGGCGAAUGAGUAUUUGGUCGUAGACCCGAAACCAGGUGAUCUACCCUUGGUCAGGUUGAAGUUCAGGUAACACUGAAUGGAGGACCGAACCGACUUACGUUGAAAAGUGAGCGGAUG